rnacentral:rRNA from 1 species
CAGUCGCCACGGUAAUACGUAGGGCGCAAGUGUUAUCCGGAAUUAUUGGGCGUAAAGAGCUCGUAGGCGGUUUGUCGCGUCUGCCGUGAAAGUCCGGGGCUCAACCCCGGAUCUGCGGUGGGUACGGGCAGACUAGAGUGAUGUAGGGGAGACUGGAAUUCCUGGUGUAGCGGUGAAAUGCGCAGAUAUCAGGAGGAACACCGAUGGCGAAGGCAGGUCUCUGGGCAUUAACUGACGCUGAGGAGCGAAAGCAUGGGGAGCGAACAGGAUUAGAUACCCCCGUAGUCCCUGUCUCUUAUAA